GAUGAACGCUGGCGGCGUGCCUAAUACAUGCAAGUCGAGCGAAAAGAUGAGGAGCUUGCUCCUCUGACGUUUGCGGCGGACGGGUGAGUAACACGUGGAUACCCUCCCUAUAAGACUGGGAUAUCUUCGGGAAACCGGAGCUAAUCCCGGAUAAUCUCUUGAACCGCAUGGUUCAAUAGUGAAAGACGGUUUUGCUGUCACUUAUAGAUGGAUCUACGCCGCAUUAGCUAGUUGGUAAGGUAACGGCUUACCAAGGCAACGAGGCGUAGCCGAGCGGAGAGAGGGAUCGGCCACACUGGAACGGAGACACGGUCCAGGCUACUGCGGGAGGCAGCAGUAGGGAAUCUGCCGCAAUAGGCGAAAGCCUUACGGAGCAACGCCGAGUGAGUUAUGAAGGUCCUCGGAUCGUAAUACUCGGUUAUUAGGGAAGAACAAAUGUGUAAGUAACUAUGCACGGCUUGACGGUACCGAAUCAGAAAGCCACGGCUAACUACGUG
rnacentral:rRNA from 1 species